GCGUUCAUCACCAUCGUCACUUCAGCUUCUACUCUAAACUCGACCUCCCAAACGUCGUCGUUUUUCUCUCAUCCUACUCCUCAUCGGCGUAGUCAUGGUGUUGAAGUCAUUUGUUGAAGUUGAACCGGAAUCUCACUUCCCUCUCGAGAACUUGCCGUACGGUGUAUUCAAGCCUGAACCGGAUUCACUACCUCGACCGGGCGUCGCUAUCGGAGAAUUUGUUUUGGACUUAUCGGUGAUUGCUUGCGCCGGUUUAUUUGACGGUCCUUUGCUCAGUAACUCCGAUUGUUUCAAUCAGCCUAACUUGAACAAGUUUGUUGGAUUGGGACAACCUGCAUGGAAGGAAGCUCGGGUGACAUUGCAAAAGCUGUUAUCAGCCACAGAACCAACAUUGCGUGACAAUGCUGAUUUAAGAAAGAUAGCUCUUCUUCCUAUGGAAAAGGUGCAAAUGCUUCUACCUGUUGCGAUUGGAGACUAUACAGACUUCUUUGCAUCAAUGCACCAUGCCAAGAAUUGUGGGACUCUUUUUCGUGGCCCUGAAAAUCCUAUCAACCUUAAUUGGUUCCAUCUUCCUAUUGCUUACCAUGGGCGAGCAUCAUCAAUUGUCGUUUCUGGAACAGAUAUCAUUAGACCCAGAGGACAAGGUCAUCCAACUGGUAAUUCUGCGCCAUAUUUUGGACCUUCGAGAAAAUUGGAUUUUGAGUUGGAAAUGGCUGCUAUAGUUGGCCCUGGUAAUGAACUAGGAACGACAAUCGACGUCAAUGACGCUGCAAAUCAUAUAUUUGGACUUGUCUUGAUGAAUGAUUGGAGUGCAAGAGAUAUCCAGGCAUGGGAGUAUGUGCCUCUUGGUCCUUUUCUUGGAAAGAGUUUUGGGACAACCAUAUCUCCUUGGAUUGUGACUUUAGAUGCCUUAGAACCCUUUGCUUGUGAGGUCCCAAAGCAGAACCCUUGUCCAUUGACAUAUCUUGUAGAGAAAACAUCAAGAAACUAUGAUAUUUCUUUGGAGGUCCUCAUUAAACCUUCUGGACAAGCUGAUUCAUGUGUUGUGACAAGAAGCAACUUUAACCACUUAUAUUGGACAAUUACUCAACAGCUAGCUCACCAUACUGUCAAUGGCUGUAACCUAAGGCCUGGGGACAUGUUUGGAACUGGAACUAUCAGCGGACCAGAACCAGAAUCUUAUGGAUGCUUGCUUGAACUAACAUGGAAUGGACAAAAGCCUUUGUCUUUAGGUGGAACUACCCGUACAUUCUUAGAAGAUGGAGAUGAAGUAACUUUCUUUGGUUAUUGUCAGGGCGAUGGAUACAAAAUUGGUUUCGGAAGAUGCUCAGGGAAAAUUGUCCCGUCUCCGCUCUGAGUGUGAAUGGUUACAUUGUUCAGCCCAUGAGCAAUUUUGAAAUGUAUACAACAAUUCAAGGCUGCUUUGGUUUCUGAUCAAAAUAAGUAAAGUAGUAGAGUCAGAAGAAUUGGAGUUACAAUCUAGGCUGGGCCUAGAGUAAGUGCAUUCUGUAUUAUACAUUGAUGAACUACAAACAAAAUCCAGUUGUAUUUUUUUUAAUUUUUAGGAGCUCGAACUCGAGAUAUCUUAUUAAAGGGCGAAGGAAUCUCACCCACCCAUCCUAUUAUUACAAUCCAUGUUGGUAAAACUUAAUAGCUUAAAGAAGUUGAAUACUCUAUUAU
rnacentral:misc_RNA from 1 species